rnacentral:lncRNA from 1 species
AAGCGAUAAAGACCGAUCGCUCGCAUUCUUCGCACUCUUCGAUUUACACUCGACGAGCACCCAGCCAACCGUCUCCGAGGGCUUCGGUACAUCAGCGAUGAAACUCCAAGCGGGAAUAUUGAUCGUCGCGGUGUUUAUCGGCUCGUCAAAAGUGGCCGAGGGCAACCCGUACGUAACCGAAUUAUGGAGGAAAGGAGUCGCAACGGUGAGAAACUUCGCGCUUGGACCUGCGCCUGCUCCUUGGCACCAAGAGGCUGUGUGGCGGAUUGAGUUCGAUCCUGAUGCCGGUCUUCGCAAAGCACCGGACUAUCAGCGUUACUUUGGACAGCGCGGUGAAAGUUUGGUAGAGCUUCUUGGUUCCGGAAACUAUCGUCCGGGAAACAGUCAGAUGUCUUCGCGAUCCGUCAACGUUCGUACGACUCAAGUCGGACUUCAAAAUUAGACGCAAUAUAAUAACCGUCGUUGAUCCAGGAACAAUUCAUUUAUGAUCAAUGGGACUGUUCGCUGUUUGGAGGCGCGCUUUUUUCUCGACUUUUGUCAACUUAUUUCAUUUCGAGUGUAUAUUGAACAUGCGUUUCAACUCUUUCGAUGCGAAUGCGUCGCAGCAUACUGCAUAUACAUACAUCGUCAUGCGCCGCUAAGUUGUACAUGCAAUUUAGUUUCAUUAUGUCCCAACCGGCAAAUGGUAUGAAUCACGUAUGCAGAAUUACACAUUUUCAUGUACCUAUAUGAGAAUGUCGACCACGGCACGAUCUUGCCACGUGAUCGAUAGUCGAGACGCGCAUACUUUGAAAUUUGAUGGAUGCAUGGUUCACAUCGUUAUAGCCGCGUUAGCGUACCGUUGCAUAUUUUUGAAUGUGGUGAAUCCGUGAUUGGCCGCAAGUUAUGAUAUUUUGUUAAAACUCAUCAAGUCAAUAUAUUAACUUCUUUCCUUGUUGUUUAUUGACUCGACCGCAGUGAUGAGAAGACUGUAAUUAUAUUACCAUCAUGCCUGUGCUGUUAUGUGGCUGUAAUGGAGAUUGGAUUGUCAGUGAGUCAGGAUUGAGUAAAUCGUUGCUAUGAGUCAGUGUACCUAAUUGAAAUAUUUACGGACAAUCUUACACGCACUCACACGUACGCAUACUGAAUUGACUUAACUGCCUUUCACCGGUGUGACUACAUCUUCAUUACGCUGAUAAUUUAAUAAACAUUCUAUUUCGAUAUAAAUUGAAUCUAUCUCUUCGACCUGUAAAAAUACCUCAAAAGCAAUCUCGAAUCUUUAACGGUUGGUCAGUGUAUUUUGAUUCGUGAACCGAAAAUCAAAGGGGUGUAGUAAAUUCUGCAUUACUACUACAUGGCGUGACUAAAUAUAAUUAAUAAUUAUUACCGUAAUCUACUGAAUAUUUCUUGCAUCCCAAUUAUACCGACAAGUUCUAAAAGUCAUUGACGCGAUGCACUUUUCUCCGUGCUCAAGUCAGGUUGAGAUAUAAUGUUAUCAAAUUAUUGAAGUUUCAUGGAGACUGAUAUCGCACAAAAAUUUACAAACAACAUUAUACGCUGAACCCUAAAUUCAAGAUUUUCAUUGGAAGAUGGAAAGCUACUUCCACUGUAGACAAUGUUUAAUUAUACGCCAAAAUACUUUCACGUUAAGUUCUGUCUACGGUCUACUUUGCUAUCAAGGGAUAAGUUAUUUGAGCAAGUUUAUAUCUUACUUACUUAACCAUCGCUCCUUCUUAGUUUUUAUCGAAUAAGCAUAGAUUCUCAAUAAUAACGUAAGUAUGGGUGUAGCAGUUUCUCAAUUCCUCAUUAUCGAAUGUAAUUCACGGCUUCUGCAGAGUUUGUCAAACCGUUCGAGAUCAAGUACAAAUACUAAUCAUUCGAUUUGUAACUAGUCAUUUUUGAACUCCAACUCCAAUUAAAAUAUUCCUCCCAGCUGGCUGAAUUUAUUAAGAAAGUUGAGGAAAUAAUGUUGACAAUUGUGAUCGCGUAUAUAAAUAGCAAUAUGGAUUCAUCUUUAUUCCUCAUAUUGAAAAUGUGUCUCGUAAAUAAAGCAGAGUGUACAAACUAUAUUUAAAAAUAGUUUUAUUUAAUUUAUAAACUAAAUAUAUUUGUUGCAGUUUGUGAUUAUUGUACAAAACUAGGUAUAUCACAUGUUUGUAGUUCACACGCGAGAAGAUUUAAUCAUAAAUUAGUAGAAGAAAAAGUUUAUAAAGUAAUUACAGUGGUAUCAUUCCGAUGAUCAAAUCUACGUGUAUUUACAAUCCUCAAUUUUUUUUACCCCACCACAUUCAGGUAUAUAACAAGGACUUUCUGCGUUGCUAUCUCAUACUCAUCGCUCGGGUAUAAAAUUAUUCCUAAUUACACUCACAGAUGCCACGAGGCACUGGCUAUCUCUGUAACGCAAAUUGGUCACAAGCAUGUGUGCAUUCCGUAUACGUGGUUUGAUGCUGUAUGAUCCACACCGUUGCCUUGAUCCUACAAUCUGCAAUUUAUGAUAGUCAACACCUAUAAUUUUUUGGAGUACUAUAUUAUAUAUAUAUAUAUAUAAUUAUAUAUAUAUAUAUAUAUAUAUAUAUAUAGUACUCCAAAAAAUUUACCGAAAGACAAGAAGUCAUACCUGGUUGUACGGCGGAGCUCGCCCCCCUCCCCCCUUCUCUGUCACGAUUAAUAUAUUUGGAUAUUAAAAUUACACUUAUCGUAGUAUAUAUGUAAAGCUGAACCGUGAUUAUUAACGUCUUCCUUGCCGCUUUUUACACACCUUGAAUAAGUAUAACACGCGGAUUAACCGCGAUCCAAAGUAUGGUAACAUUAAAACCUGGACGCGCGAAUUACUUUUUAGUGUAAACUUCGCAGCUACUAGCAUCGAAUAAUAGAAGUCGCGCCGAGUUUCUAAAUCAUUCAUCACGUAUGAGAAUAUUAUAUAGUGCAAAAUUAUCUACUUACAAUUAAUCGAAAAUAGAGGAAAAUCAUACCCUGAUUCAUUCAAUUCAUUGAAGCCCAAGUUCGAUCGCUACGGGUUGCUUAGUGAUGAAAACUCGACAGUAGGUAUUUUCCGGUUUCUUUGAAACCGGUAUGCAGUCAUAUCCAUCACUU